rnacentral:rRNA from 1 species
GACGAACGCUGGCGGCGUGCUUAACACAUGCAAGUCGAACGGAAAGGCCCUGCUUUUGUGGGGUGCUCGAGUGGCGAACGGGUGAGUAACACGUGAGUAACCUGCCCUUGACUUUGGGAUAACUUCAGGAAACUGGGGCUAAUACCGGAUAGGAGCUCCUGCUGCAUGGUGGGGGUUGGAAAGUUUCGGCUGUUGGGGAUGGAAUCGCGGCUUAUCAGCUUGUUGGUGGGGUAGUGGCUUACCAAGGCUUUGAAGGGUAGGCGGCCUGGGAGGGUGACCGGCCACAAUGGGACUGCGAGACGGACCAGUCGCCAACGGGAGGCAACGGUGGGAAAUAUUGCACAAUGGCGGGAAGCCUGAGGCAGCAACGUCGCGUGCGGAAUGACGGCCUUCGGGGUGUAAACCGCUGUCGCCGGUGACGAAGCGUGCGUGACGGUAAUGGGUAAAGAAGCACCGGCUAACUACGUG